CAGCAGCCGCGGUAAUACGUAGGUCCCGAACGUUGUCCGGAUUUAUUGGGCGUAAAGCGAGCGCAGGCGGUUAGAUAAGUCUGAAGUUAAAGGCUGUGGCUUAACCAUAGUACGCUUUGGAAACUGUUUAACUUGAGUGCAAGAGGGGAGAGUGGACUUCCAUGUGUAGCGGUGAAAUGCGUAGAUAUAUGGAGGAACACCGGUGGCGAAAGCGGCUCUCUGGCUUGUAACUGACGCUGAGGAGCGAAAGCGUGGGGAGCGAACAGGAUUAGAUACCCCAGUAGUCCCUGUCUCUUAUACA
rnacentral:rRNA from 1 species